rnacentral:snoRNA from 1 species
AACAGUCAAAGAAUCAUUUCUUUAGUAAACAUCUCCUUCUGUGUUCUCUACAACAGUCACAGACUCCAACCGAGACGAUGAGUCGAACCUCGAUACCCUAGAGUGAAACCGUUUUGCUUUCGUUCUCUCCGCAAGGAGGGCGUCUGUGUUUCUUCUGAGACGCGGAUGUAUAGAAAGUGGUGAUGAUCUCGACCCUGCACUGAUGGUUUUAGGACCUUGGUGUAGGGUGGGUGUUGAUGGUUGUCUGAUCGGU